AGUGAACGCUGGCGGUAGGCCUAACACAUGCAAGUCGAACGGCAGCACAGUAAGAGCUUGCUCUUACGGGUGGCGAGUGGCGGACGGGUGAGGAAUACAUCGGAAUCUACUUUUUCGUGGGGGAUAACGUAGGGAAACUUACGCUAAUACCGCAUACGACCUACGGGUGAGAGCAGGGGAUCUUCGGACCUUGCGCGAUUGAAUGAGCCGAUGUCGGAUUAGCUAGUUGGCGGGGUAAAGGCCCACCAAGGCGACGAUCCGUAGCUGGUCUGAGAGGAUGAUCAGCCACACUGGAACUGAGGCACGGUCCAGACUCCUACGGGAGGCAGCAGUGGGGAAUAUUGGACAAUGGGCGCAAGCCUGAUCCAGCCAUACCGCGUGGGUGAAGAAGGCCUUCGGGUUGUAAAGCCCUUUUGUUGGGAAAGAAAAGCAGCAGGUUAAUACCCCGCUGUUCUGACGGUACCCAAAGAAUAAGCACCGGCUAACUUCGUG
rnacentral:rRNA from 1 species